ACGAACGCUGGCGGCGUGCUUAACACAUGCAAGUCGUACGGUAAGGCCCUUUCGGGGGUACACGAGUGGCGAACGGGUGAGUAACACGUGAGUAACCUGCCCACAACUUUGGGAUAACGCUAGGAAACUGGUGCUAAUACUGGAUAUGUGCUCCUGCUGCAUGGUGGGGGUUGGAAAGCUCCGGCGGUUGUGGAUGGACUCGCGGCCUAUCAGCUUGUUGGUGGGGUAGUGGCCUACCAAGGCGGCGACGGGUAGCCGGCCUGAGAGGGUGACCGGCCACAUUGGGAUUGGAAUACGACCGAGACUCCUAGGGGGGGGAGUAGUGGGGAAUAUUGCAAAAUGGGCGGAAGCCUAAUGCAGAGACGCCACGGCGGGGAUGACGGCCUUCGGUUUAUAAACCGCUUUCGGCGGGGACGAACGUUUUUGUGACGGGACCUGAAGAAAAAGCACCGGCGAACUACGG
rnacentral:rRNA from 1 species